UGCUUGUGUUUUUUCGAGUUUUUUAAAUUCCAUCUAUUACAGCGCUCGAUAGAGGCGCAGACGGCAAUAAAGAAAAGAAAAACCUUAAAACCGACAGACUAGCAACAAUAUAGAGUCAAGAGUAUGAUUAGAUGUAUCACGUAAUAUUGAAGGCGUCAGAUGUACACGUAAAAUACUGGCCUCGUCAGAGUGUUAUAAAUACAAAAAUCAACUUAAUAUCGCAUUUUUCGGGCCAAUAUGGUCAGUUAAGCGGGCAAAGCUCUUUAACGACUCAUCAAAACCCUGUAACACCAUAUAUGAAUCGACGCGUUUUGAAUUCCGAUUCAAACUUUUGUUAGUCUCAACUUUCAAAAGUUUCUCUGUAAAAAGUUAUUUGCUUUGCAAGAUUUUGAAAUAUCGGGAGCAUCGAUGUAUCGAUCAAUCGAAAUCUUCUAACUUGAUCUCUCAUGAAAUAUCGAUCAAUUGAUAGUAAUCGAUUUCAAUUCGACCGAUGACUGGUUCCAUGCCGGUCCGUCGUCGUUCCUUUUAGUUGUUUCGUUUCUCGUUCGUUUUGUUCAAAACAAUAACAAAAAGUCGCGACAGAUAAAAGAUAAAUGCCGAUGUAAGCUUGCUUCGAAGUGAUUAUGGAUGCUUUUAAAAUUUAUUAACGAGGUCAACUGAAUAAUCUGCUGCAGACGGACCAAAUUACCCUAAAUAAUGAACCAAAGAGAAACAAAGUAGAAUACCUCUCAUGAAAACAUCAAGGUACAGAUUGAACGUGAACGCAUUUCCGUAUGUUUGCUUGAUUUUUGCAGCCCAAAAGGAAGUGUGACUUGAUGUAAAUUCAUCUAUUCAUAGGAAAAUUCUUUACUUCUACUUGAAAGUUGCGUUGAGCGAGACCUAGACCAUGGAGUAUGAAGGAAGCUAGCCAAAGGAUGCUCCAUUAUAAGAUUUUUAGGAAAACCUACUGGGACGAUGACAACCUGUAGUCCAAAAUUUUUAAUCAAAAUAACAGGUUCUUUUUGUAGAACAUUGUCUUACAUACUCAGUAGCAGAAGUACUUUGGCCCAAUUAUUCUCUACCAGGAAAGGAAAAAACAAAAGAUCUGGUUGAGGAAUGAUUUUUACUCUACUAUUUUUUGCUCUUAAAAAUUGAUCUCAAUAAAUUAUACUUUGAUAUUAUUAAAGCUUUGUAGAAGAAGGCCAACGCUUUCCAAUGCAUGUGUGAAUGCUUUUACUUUACCAAAAAUGUUCAAGAGUUUACACUGAUAGAGAUCCAGUGAUUUUGUCAUCAAAAAUUAAAGUUAGCACAUGAUUGUAACUCUCAUGAUGAAGGGAAGCAGCCCAUUAAAGGUUUUCUUCUCGUGUUUA